GAUGAACGCUGGCGGCGUGCCUAAUACAUGCAAGUCGAGCGAAUGGAUUGAGAGCUUGCUCUUAUGAAGUUAGCGGCGGACGGGUGAGUAACACGUGGGUAACCUGCCCAUAAGACUGGGAUAACUCCGGGAAACCGGGGCUAAUACCGGAUAACAUUUUGAACCGCAUGGUUAGAAAUUGAAAGGCGGCUUCGGCUGUUACUUAUGGAUGAACCCGCGUCGCAUUAGCUAGUUGGUGAGGUAACGGCUUACCAAGGCAACGAUGCGUAGCCGACCUGAGAGGGUGAUCGGCCACACUGGGACUGAGACACGGCCCAGACUCCUACGGGAGGCAGCAGUAGGGAAUCUUCCGCAAUGGACGAAAGUCUGACGGAGCAACGCCGCGUGAGUGAUGAAGGCUUUCGGGUCGUAAAACUCUGUUGUUAGGGAAGAACAAGUGCUAGUUGAAUAAGCUGGCACCUUGACGGUACCUAACCAGAAAGCCACGGCUAACUACGUGCCAGCCGCCGCAGUAA
rnacentral:rRNA from 1 species